rnacentral:rRNA from 1 species
AUAAGUAAUGUGANUGCAGAAUUCAGUGAAUCAUCGAAUCUUUGAACGCACCUUGCGCUCCUUGGUAUUCCGAGGAGCAUGCCUGUUUGAGUGUCGUGAAAUCCUCAAGCCGUGCCGUUUGCUGUUUACAGUUCGGUACGGUUUGGACUUGGGGGUCUAUCGAUGUCGUCCUCGCGGAUGGCUCCCCUGGAAUGCAUUGGCUCGAGGUUGGCUCGUGGCGGUUCACGGCGUGAUAAGAAAUGAAAGUUACGUCCUGAUAAUCCCGCGGCGUGUCAGAUGGCCUCGGGCUGGCCGGCGACGAUCUCUUUUGAUGUCGUGCACUCUUUGACUUUGACCUCAAAUCAGGCAGGACUACCCGCUGAACUUAAGCAUAUCAAUAAGCGGAGGAAAAGAAACUAACAAGGAUUCCCCUAGUAACUGCGAGUGAAGCGGGACAAGCUCAAAUUUAAAAUCUGGCGGCCUUGCCGUCCGAGUUGUAAUCUGGAGAAGCGUUUUCUGCGCYGGACCGUGUACAAGUCUCUUGGAACAGAGCGUCGCAGAGGGUGAGAAUCCCGUCUUUGACACGGACUGCCGGUGCUUCACGAGGCGCUCUCGAAGAGUCGAGUUGUUUGGGAAUGCAGCUCAAAGUGGGUGGUAAAUUCCAUCUAAAGCUAAAUAUUGGCGAGAGACCGAUAGCGAACAAGUACCGUGAGGGAAAGAUGAAAAGCACUUUGGAAAGAGAGUUAAACAGUACGUGAAAUUGUUGAAAGGGAAGCGCUUGAAGUCAGUCGCGUCGUCCGGAACUCAGCCUUGCUUUGCCUGGUGUACUUUCCGGUUGACGGGCCAACGUCGAUUUUGGCCGGCGGAAAAAAGUGGAGGGAAUGUGGCACCUCCGGGUGUGUUAUAGCCCUCCAUUGGACGCGUCGGCUGGGAUCGAGGACCGCAGCACGCCUUUUGGCCGGGGUUCGCCCACAGUAACGUGCUUAAGGAUGUUGGCGUAAUGGCUUUAAACGACCCGUCUUGAAACACGGCCAAGGAGUCUAACAUGCCCGCGAGUGUUAGGGUGGAAAACCCUUGCGCGCAACGAAAGUGAAAGUUGGGACCUCUGUCGUGGAGGGCACCGACGCCCGGCCUUGAACUACUGUGACGGUGCCGCGGUGGAGCGUGCAUGUUGGGACCCGAAAGAUGGUGAACUAUGCCUGAAUAGGGUGAAGCCAGAGGAAACUCUGGUGGAGGCUCGUAGCGAUUCUGACGUGCAAAUCGAUCGUCAAAUUUGGGUAUAGGGGCGAAAGACUAAUCGAACCAUCUAGUAGCUGGUUCCUGCCGAAGUUUCCCUCCAGGAUAGCAGAAGCUCGUGUCAGAUUUAUGUGGUAAAGCGAAUGAUUAGAGGCCUUGGGGUCGAAACGACCUUAACCUAUUCUCAAACUUUAAAUAUGUAAGAACAAGCCGUCUCUUGAUUGGACCGCUUGGCGAUUGAGAGCUUCUAGUGGGGCAUUUUUGGUAAGCAGAACUGGCGAUGCGGGAUGAACCGAACGCCAAGUUAAGCGCCGGAGUACACGCUCAUCAGACACCACAAAAGGGGUKAGUUCAUCUAGACAGCAGG